rnacentral:misc_RNA from 1 species
CUGGGCUUAAACAAAUGGCAGCAAGUAGGCGGGAAAACUCGUGAAGAGGCAACGUUGCUGUUAAGGCUGAUCAGAAAAAUGCACGCCUUUCUGAAGACCGGAAAAUUGGGCGCCCCAGUAGAUGCGAAGAAACCGUCGACCUCCCGCGCCAAGGAGGACAAGAAGGACCUUGUACCAUGGGUGGAGAAAUACCGACCGAGGAGUGUCGACGACAUCGUGGAGCAGACAGAAGUGGUGAAUGUGAUAAGGCAAGCCAUGGAGCGCGAUGACUUUCCCAACUUGUUAUUUUACGGACCGCCUGGCACCGGCAAGACCAGCAUCAUUCAUGCUGCUGCGAGACAAAUGUUCGGCAGUAUGUACAAAGACAGGAUAUUGGAGUUGAAUGCCUCCGACGACAGAGGCAUCCAGAUUGUGAGAGAGAAGAUCAAGACCUUUGCACUGCGCAGAGCCAAUGCUUCUGGGCCAGACGGAAAAAAGUGUCCACCGUUUAAAAUCAUCAUAUUGGACGAGGCGGAUAGCAUGACCGGCGCCGCGCAGACGGCGCUCCGUCGAAUCAUGGAGAAGGAAGCACACAGCACGCGCUUCUGCCUGGUGUGCAAUUAUCUGUCGCGAAUCAUCAAGCCGAUCGCGUCACGCUGCACGAAAUUCCGAUUUAAACCACUGAGCGAUGAAAAGAGCAUCGUCAGACUCGAAUAUAUAUGCAACGAGGAGAACCUAAAAGCGGACAGAAGCGUCCUAAAGGAAAUCGUUGAAGCAUCGGGUGGCGAUUUGAGACAGGCUGUUAUGUGUCUGCAAUCGAUCACUCGAUUGAAAGGCAAAGAGUACGAGAUCACUGUGGACGAUGCUCUCGAUGUAAUUGGGCUAGUUCCCGAUGACAAAAUUAAUUCACUGCUAGAAACCUGUAAGAAAGGAAGUUAUAAUGACAUCCAGAAAUUGCUUGACGAUUUAUUGCUGGAAGGAUAUCCAGCAGCACAGGUGAUCAAGCAAUUGAACGAGAAAAUUAUCUUCUCUGAAGAAUUUACUGACAAACAGAAAGUGAUAAUUGGCGAUGUGCUCGGCAAAUGUGAUUACUACUUAACAGAAGGAAGCGAUGAAUAUCUGCAGCUUCUAAACGUAUUUUCUACUAUUACAUGGGCGUGCAAACUGUAAAAAGAGUUACGAAAAUUUACUUCUACGUUAUGUAUUUGUAUUUAUGGAUGUUAUAUACUCAACCAACUUAAGAAGCCUGACGCGCGAAACGUAACUAGAAUUUGUUAAAUAUAGUUCUUUCCGUUUUAUGAGACAAAACGCUAUUUUGAACGAUGAAAGCGUCAAAUAUAAGUUGCAAUGGCAUCCUAAAACAAUUCUGACAUCUUCUCGUCGCGCGCAAGAGGAAAUCUCGACGAUUGCAUUAGUAAAACUCCUCCCGGCGUCGUUGGAAACGGGGUUCUCAGCGUCCCGGCGCCGUCGCGACGCGCAUCAGCCGCGCUGAGCGCCACUAACGCUCGGCGUGUAGGGGCGUCGUUGCUACUGCGUGCAAUGUGUAUCGUGUAGGCGUUGGCGAGGAAGGAGGCGAGAGCUGCGACCGCCGCCGCUCGCUCGCUCGCUCGCUCUCUCGGGGAUGUGUCGUCUGUGAGGAGAAUUGAGGAAAAAAA